rnacentral:lncRNA from 1 species
CUCACUGUGCAGGUGGGGAAAUUUAGACCCUGAAAAAGGGAUGCCCUGAGAUCACCAUGAGAUUGAGGGGCAAGCAGGGCUCACCCUGACUGGCUCACUUCCCAGGCACCCCCAUGAGCCCAGGCACCGCCUGCCACCCUCACUCUCCAGGAAGAGCCACCGCGUGGUGGCCGGGAUCGUGUGGUGGCCAGGGCGUCUGACCUUGGCUCUCACCCGGAGGCCAUCCAGGUGCUGAGGAUGGCUAACGCUAAGGCCACACAGCCAGGGAGAGGAGGUGGCUCGUGACACCACGAUGGGACACACCCACCUCUGGGAGAGGAGGGUGACUCCGACAGCCCUUGCCUGCCAGGAUGGAGCCUGGACUCUGGAGGGCAUCGUGUCCUGGAGCAGCACCAGCACCUCCUGUUGUCACCAGGCGUGGAUGCCCGCAUCAUGAAAUUCAUGCCUGGGAAGGCGUGGAGGCCGAGACCACCCCCCCUACCCCGCAUCUGUGUAAAACACAAAUAAAGCCAUUGAGAGCAACUGCA